UAUUGGGCGUAAGAGCUCGUAGGCGGUUUGUCGCGUCUGCCGUGAAAGUCCGGGGCUCAACUCCGGAUCUGCGGUGGGUACGGGCAGACUAGAGUGAUGUAGGGGAGACUGGAAUUCCUGGUGUAGCGGUGAAAUGCGCAGAUAUCAGGAGGAACACCGAUGGCGAAGGCAGGUCUCUGGGCAUUAACUGACGCUGAGGAGCGAAAGCAUGGGGAGCGAACAGGAUUAGAUACCCUGGUAGUCCAUGCCGUAAACGUUGGGCACUAGGUGUGGGGGACAUUCCACGUUUUCCGCGCCGUAGCUAACGCAUUAAGUGCCCCGCCUGGGGAGUACGGCCGCAAGGCUAAAACUCAAAGGAAUUGACGGGGGCCCGCACAAGCGGCGGAGCAUGCGGAUUAAUUCGAUGCAACGCGAAGAACCUUACCAAGGCUUGACAUGAACCGGAAACACCUGGAGACAGGUGCCCCGCUUGCGGUCGGUUUACAGGUGGUGCAUGGUUGUCGUCAGCUCGUGUCGUGAGAUGUUGGGUUAAGUCCCGCAACGAGCGCAACCCUCGUUCUAUGUUGCCAGCACGUGAUGGUGGGGACUCAUAGGAGACUGCCGGGGUCAACUCGGAGGAAGGUGGGGACGACGUCAAAUCAUCAUGCCCCUUAUGUCUUGGGCUUCACGCAUGCUACAAUGGCCGGUACAAAGGGUUGCGAUACUGUGAGGUGGAGCUAAUCCCAAAAAGCCGGUCUCAGUUCGGAUUGGGGUCUGCAACUCGACCCCAUGAAGUCGGAGUCGCUAGUAAUCGCAGAUCAGCAACGCUGCGGUGAAUACGUUCCCGGGGCCUUGUACACACCGCCCGUCAAGUCACGAAAGUUGGUAACACCCGAAGCCGGUGGGCUAACCCCUUGUGGGAGGAGCUGUCGAAGUGGGACUGGCGAUUGGGACG
rnacentral:rRNA from 1 species